GAGUUUGAUCAUGGCUCAGGAUGAACGCUAGCGGCAGGCUUAAUACAUGCAAGUCGAGGGGCAGCGCGGGGAGCAAUCUCUGGCGGCGACCGGCAAACGGGUGAGGAACACGUACGCAACCUUCCCAAAACAGGUGAAUAGCCCUCCGAAAGGAGGAUUAAUACACCGUAAGAUAUUUGGUUGGCAUCAAUUGAAUAUUAUAGUUGAGGCGGUUUUGGAUGGGCGUGCGCAUGAUUAGAUAGUUGGCGGGGUAACGGCCCACCAAGUCUACGAUCAUUAACUGGUGUGAGAGCACGACCAGUCACACGGGCACUGAGACACGGGCCCGACUCCUACGGGAGGCAGCAGUAAGGAAUAUUGGUCAAUGGACGCAAGUCUGAACCAGCCAUGCCGCGUGAAGGAUGAAGGUCCUCUGGAUUGUAAACUUCUUUUAUCUGGGACGAAAACGGGAUUUUUAUCUCAAUUGACGGUACCAGAGGAAUAAGCACCGGCUAACUCCGUGCCAGCAGCCGCGGUAAUACGGAGGGUGCGAGCGUUAUCCGGAUUUACUGGGUUUAAAGGGUGCGUAGGUGGGCUUAUAAGUCAGUGGUGAAAUCUCCGAGCUUAACUUGGAAACUGCCGUUGAUACUAUAGGUCUUGAAUUAUCUGGAGGUAAGCGGAAUAUGUCAUGUAGCGGUGAAAUGCUUAGAUAUGACAUAGAACACCAAUUGCGAAGGCAGCUUACUACAUAUAAAUUGACGCUGAGGCACGAAAGCGUGGGGAUCAAACAGGAUUAGAUACCCUGGUAGUCCACGCCCUAAACUAUGGAUACUCGACAUACGCGAUAUACAGUGUGUGUCUGAGCGAAAGCAUUAAGUAUCCCACCUGGGAAGUACGAUCGCAAGAUUGAAACUCAAAGGAAUUGGCGG
rnacentral:rRNA from 1 species